AUGAGUUCAGAGCUGUUCGAGAAGGGGUCCAAGACUGAUGAUAAGGAUGUGCUGCGCCAGUCGCGCGAUCAUUCAGUUCUGGCCCUGGCCUACUUCACCGAAGCCAAGCGGUUUGCGCCACGCUGCAUCGUGACUCCUGUCUUCCGAGGGAACGAGCUGAUGUGCCUUGCAAAGCUCGGUGAGCUUGAGAAGGAAGUCCUUCCAGAGAUUAAGCUUCCCUUCGACACAGAUGUUGCGUCCGUUGUGUCUCUUCAUGCCAAUGAGUUCACUGACCGGAUUGCUGACAUCCAAUCUGAGUUCAUCCAUGCCAGUACCAUGAUUGACCCGGACGACCCAGCCAAGCAUAACAUCUGGUAUGAUAUUCGUCGGUGCACACAACACAGGAACAAACGGCGAACCAAGCACGCCAGCGACUGGCUUGAAGGGCUCGAACAGGGCUACCAGCUCAUCCACUCGUCGCCCAAGGACAACAUUACCAAAGCAAGAGCAGAAGCUUCAGAUAAGCUACACGAGAUAAUGCGAUUUGUGUGCGAUCAAUAUGUGCCUAGUAAAGUGGAGGAGAUCUUGCGUAAGGAUGUUGCUGGUCAUCUUGCUGCUGCAAGAGAGGAGGCAAAGAACUUGGCUGCAACUUAUGGCUACUGUGCCCGAGCACGCAUGCUAGAAGGUUAUGUGGAGCUGAAGCACACUACAAGAGUGGGUGGACCACAGUUUAAGGCAAUGUUAAGAGAGCUGAUCCAGAUGGUACAUGAAGCAGCGGCUGCUUUCAAAGGUUCUAUCAUCAUUGCAAAGUUUCUGGCUGAGUUCUAUUCUGCACUUGGCCAAGAUGUGUAUGCUUUGAGCAUUGUUCAAAGAGCCCUUCUAGUCCAUAACCCUGACGACCCGCGCAAACAUGAUGUGCCCGUUGGCUGCACCCCAGGGGACUGCUCUGAAGAUAGGAUUGCCACUGUCCAAGACCAACUUGGUCAGAUGCUUGCCAGAAUUGAAGCUAAUAUAAAAUCAAGAAGCCAUCCAACAGAUCUUUUAGGAAGCGAAGAAGACGUUGCUGAAGUUGACAAUGGAAGUCCGGUCAACGGAAAGGGGAAGAAGAAGAAGAAGAAGACGGAGAAAAAGCCUGCAGUGCAUCAUGCAUUUAGGUAUUCACAGAAGAAAAAGGCGCCCAACCCGAGCAGGAUACCUGUAUGGGAGGACUGGCUUCGAAAGAACAGAACAACACCUACACCGGCAUCUAUUCCUCCCAUACAUAUGGUUCAACAGCAGCUUGUGCCAGAGUGUGAGGUGAACCUGUAUGUGGAGUACUGCCAAGCACUCGCACAGUGUUCGAAGAAGAAUUUUGUAUGUCAUCUGUGUUGUUUCGAGGGACCUUACUGCUCUCGAGUGCAGAUAAAUGAUAUCAGCAAUCACUAUCUGGCCGAGCACAGCUUGAGCCUGGAACAAGCUUUCAAGUGCCCCGAGAAACCCUGCAACAUCAGGCUUCGCAGCUACGCCGACUUCCGGAGGCACCAUCACUUUGUUCAUCGGUUAACACCUGGCUGGUGGAAAUCGGAGAGUGACUUGAAGGUUACAGGGGAGGGUGGUGCAAAGAUCUAG
rnacentral:rRNA from 1 species